AUGUCGAAGGUUUCCUUUAAGAUCAUGCUGACAUCGGACACGCAGCUGCCAUACAAAGUACUCAGUGUACUUUGUACUUUCCUGAAAGUACACCUUUCACAGCAGUCUUAAAGUUUGCAGCCGAAGAAUUUAAAGCUCCUGCUGCAACAAGUGCAGUUAUUACCAAUGAUGGAAUAGGAAUAAAUCUUGCACAGACUGCUGGAAAUGUUUUUCUAAAACAAGGUUCAGAACUGCGGAUUAUUCCUAGAGAUCAUGUUGGAAGU
rnacentral:lncRNA from 1 species